UACGUAGGGUGCGAGCGUUAAUCGGAAUUACUGGGCGUAAAGCGUGCGCAGGCGGUUUUGUAAGCCAGAUGUGAAAUCCCCGGGCUCAACCUGGGAAUGGCAUUUGGGACUGCAAGGCUUGAGUGCGGCAGAGGAGACUGGAAUUCCUGGUGUAGCAGUGAAAUGCGUAGAUAUCAGGAGGAAUACCGAUGGCGAAGGCAGGUCUCUGGGCUGACACUGACGCUCAGGAGCGAAAGCGUGGGGAGCGAACAGG
rnacentral:rRNA from 1 species